GUGCUCAUUUUGGCAGCACAUAUACUGAAAGUAGAAUAAAACAAAAAAGAUUAGCAUGACCCUGUGCAAGAUUGGCACACAGAUUCAUUAAGCAUUUCAUAAGAAA